rnacentral:rRNA from 1 species
GCACAAGCGGUGGAGCAUGUGGUUUAAUUCGACGCAACGCGAAGAACCUUACCUGGGCUCGAAAUGUAGUGGACCGGGGUAGAAAUAUCCCUUCCUAGCAAUAGGCUGCUAUAUAGGUGCUGCAUGGCUGUCGUCAGCUCGUGUCGUGAGAUGUUGGGUUAAGUCCCGCAACGAGCGCAACCCUUAUUACCAGUUGCUACCAUUUAGUUGAGCACUCUGGUGAGACCGCCUCGGAUAACGGGGAGGAAGGCGGGGAUGACGUCAAGUCCUCAUGGCCUUUAUGUCCAGGGCUACACACGUGCUACAAUGGCCGGUACAAACCGUCGCAAACCCGCGAGGGGGAGCUAAUCGGAAAAAGCCGGCCUCAGUUCGGAUUAGAGUCUGCAACUCGACUCUAUGAAGCUGGAAUCGCUAGUAAUCGCGGAUCAGAAUGCCGCGGUGAAUACGUUCCCGGGC